rnacentral:rRNA from 1 species
UACGUAGGGUGCAAGCGUUGUCCGGAAUUAUUGGGCGUAAAGAGCUCGUAGGCGGUCUGUCGCGUCGGCUGUGAAAACUCGGGGCUCAACUCCGAGCUUGCAGUCGAUACGGGCAGGCUAGAGUUCGGCAGGGGAGACUGGAAUUCCUGGUGUAGCGGUGAAAUGCGCAGAUAUCGGAAGGAACACCAGUGGCGAAAGCGGCUUCCUGGUCCAGCACCGACGUUCAGGCACGAAAGCGUGGGGAGCAAACAGG